rnacentral:tRNA from 1 species
GGCUAUGUAACCUGAUGGUUAAGGUUCUUCACCUUCAUUGGAGUGAUUUGGUGUUCAAACCUCCACUUAACUC